AUGAAAAACAAAGCGUUGCUAUGGACGCAGGAUUCUAACCUUAGAGACGGAAAGGGCUAUAUUUUCUUUAUUAUUUUCUUUAUUAUUUUUUCACAUUAUCCCUUACAUAAUAUAACUGGGUAUAUAAGCUCACACACAGCGUACUCACACCUCACUCACUCUGGACAUCCCAACUGGACAUCCCAACUGGACAUCCCAACUGUCAGUUUCUCUGAGACCCUGCCCUACAGACAGACUAGCACGAUGUCAUCUCAGAAGGUGCUUGUGCCAAACAAUUUCCGAAACACACAGAAAAGGAAAUUGAUAGGGGAAACCCUCAAACAUGCACCUCACCGUGCCAAGGUGGUCGCGACACCUGCAGCGGAAGAAGAACUUCGGGCACCUCCUGGGGAUGGAGACAAUGACUGA
ensembl:lncRNA